rnacentral:rRNA from 1 species
UACGGAGGGGGCUAGCGUUGUUCGGAAUUACUGGGCGUAAAGCGCACGUAGGCGGCUUUGCAAGUCAGAGGUGAAAGCCCGGGGCUCAACCCCGGAAUUGCCUUUGAGACUGCAUCGCUAGAACGUCGGAGAGGUGAGUGGAAUUCCGAGUGUAGAGGUGAAAUGCGCAGAUAUCAGGAAGAACACCCGUGGCGAAGGCGGCUCUCUGGGACGUGACUGACGCUGAGACGCGAAAGCGUGGGGAGCGAACAGG